rnacentral:rRNA from 1 species
UUAAGCGACUAAGCGUACACGGUGGAUGCCCUGGGCAGUCAGAGGCGAUGAAGGACGUGCUAAUCUGCGAUAAGCGUCGGUAAGGUGAUAUGAACCGUUAUAACCGGCGAUUUCCGAAUGGGGAAACCCAGUGUGAUUCGUCACACUAUCAUUAACUGAAUCCAUAGGUUAAUGAGGCGAACCGGGGGAACUGAAACAUCUAAGUACCCCGAGGAAAAGAAAUCAACCGAGAUUCCCCCAGUAGCGGCGAGCGAACGGGGAGCAGCCCAGAGCCUGAAUCAGUGUGUGUGUUAGUGGAAGCGUCUGGAAAGGCGCGCGAUACAGGGUGACAGCCCCGUACACAAAAAUGCACAUGCUGUGAGCUCGAUGAGUAGGGCGGGACACGUGGUAUCCUGUCUGAAUAUGGGGGGACCAUCCUCCAAGGCUAAAUACUCCUGACUGACCGAUAGUGAACCAGUACCGUGAGGGAAAGGCGAAAAGAACCCCGGCGAGGGGAGUGAAAAGAACCUGAAACCGUGUACGUACAAGCAGUGGGAGCACAGAGCAAUCUGUGUGACUGCGUACCUUUUGUAUAAUGGGUCAGCGACUUAUAUUCUGUAGCAAGGUUAACCGAAUAGGGGAGCCGAAGGGAAACCGAGUCUUAACUGGGCGUUAAGUUGCAGGGUAUAGACCCGAAACCCGGUGAUCUAGCCAUGGGCAGGUUGAAGGUUGGGUAACACUAACUGGAGGACCGAACCGACUAAUGUUGAAAAAUUAGCGGAUGACUUGUGGCUGGGGGUGAAAGGCCAAUCAAACCGGGAGAUAGCUGGUUCUCCCCGAAAGCUAUUUAGGUAGCGCCUCGUGAAUUCAUCUCCGGGGGUAGAGCACUGUUUCGGCAAGGGGGUCAUCCCGACUUACCAACCCGAUGCAAACUGCGAAUACCGGAGAAUGUUAUCACGGGAGACACACGGCGGGUGCUAACGUCCGUCGUGAAGAGGGAAACAACCCAGACCGCCAGCUAAGGUCCCAAAGUCAUGGUUAAGUGGGAAACGAUGUGGGAAGGCCCAGACAGCCAGGAUGUUGGCUUAGAAGCAGCCAUCAUUUAAAGAAAGCGUAAUAGCUCACUGGUCGAGUCGGCCUGCGCGGAAGAUGUAACGGGGCUAAACCAUGCACCGAAGCUACGGCAGCGACGCUGAUGCGUUGUUGGGUAGGGGAGCGUUCUGUAAGCCUGCGAAGGUGUGCUGUGAGGCAUGCUGGAGGUAUCAGAAGUGCGAAUGCUGACAUAAGUAACGAUAAAGCGGGUGAAAAGCCCGCUCGCCGGAAGACCAAGGGUUCCUGUCCAACGUUAAUCGGGGCAGGGUGAGUCGACCCCUAAGGCGAGGCCGAAAGGCGUAGUCGAUGGGAAACAGGUUAAUAUUCCUGUACUUGGUGUUACUGCGAAGGGGGACGGAGAAGGCUAUGUUGGCCGGGCGACGGUUGUCCCGGUUUAAGCGUGUAGGCUGGUUUUCCAGGCAAAUCCGGAAAAUCAAGGCUGAGGCGUGAUGACGAGGCACUACGGUGCUGAAGCAACAAAUGCCCUGCUUCCAGGAAAAGCCUCUAAGCAUCAGGUAACAUCAAAUCGUACCCCAAACCGACACAGGUGGUCAGGUAGAGAAUACCAAGGCGCUUGAGAGAACUCGGGUGAAGGAACUAGGCAAAAUGGUGCCGUAACUUCGGGAGAAGGCACGCUGAUAUGUAGGUGAAGUCCCUCGCGGAUGGAGCUGAAAUCAGUCGAAGAUACCAGCUGGCUGCAACUGUUUAUUAAAAACACAGCACUGUGCAAACACGAAAGUGGACGUAUACGGUGUGACGCCUGCCCGGUGCCGGAAGGUUAAUUGAUGGGGUCAGCGCAAGCGAAGCUCUUGAUCGAAGCCCCGGUAAACGGCGGCCGUAACUAUAACGGUCCUAAGGUAGCGAAAUUCCUUGUCGGGUAAGUUCCGACCUGCACGAAUGGCGUAAUGAUGGCCAGGCUGUCUCCACCCGAGACUCAGUGAAAUUGAACUCGCUGUGAAGAUGCAGUGUACCCGCGGCAAGACGGAAAGACCCCGUGAACCUUUACUAUAGCUUGACACUGAACAUUGAGCCUUGAUGUGUAGGAUAGGUGGGAGGCUUUGAAGUGUGGACGCCAGUCUGCAUGGAGCCGGCCUUGAAAUACCACCCUUUAAUGUUUGAUGUUCUAACGUUGACCCGUAAUCCGGGUUGCGGACAGUGUCUGGUGGGUAGUUUGACUGGGGCGGUCUCCUCCUAAAGAGUAACGGAGGAGCACGAAGGUUGGCUAAUCCUGGUCGGACAUCAGGAGGUUAGUGCAAUGGCAUAAGCCAGCUUGACUGCGAGCGUGACGGCGCGAGCAGGUGCGAAAGCAGGUCAUAGUGAUCCGGUGGUUCUGAAUGGAAGGGCCAUCGCUCAACGGAUAAAAGGUACUCCGGGGAUAACAGGCUGAUACCGCCCAAGAGUUCAUAUCGACGGCGGUGUUUGGCACCUCGAUUCGGCUCAUCACAUCCUGGGGCUGAAGUAGGUCCCAAGGGUAUGGCUGUUCGCCAUUUAAAGUGGUACGCGAGCUGGGUUUAGAACGUCGUGAGACAGUUCGGUCCCUAUCUGCCGUGGGCGCUGGAGAACUGAGGGGGGCUGCUCCUAGUACGAGAGGACCGGAGUGGACGCAUCACUGGUGUUCGGGUUGUCAUGCCAAUGGCACUGCCCGGUAGCUAAAUGCGGAAGAGAUAAGUGCUGAAAGCAUCUAAGCACGAAACUUGCCCCGAGAUGAGUUCUCCCUGACUCCUUGAGAGUCCUGAAGGAACGUUGAAGACGACGACGUUGAUAGGCCGGGUGUGUAAGCGCAGCGAUGCGUUGAGCUAACCGGUACUAAUGAACCGUGAGGCUUAACCUU